CCUACGGGAGGCAGCAGUGGGGAAUAUUGCACAAUGGGGGAAACCCUGAUGCAGCGACGCCGCGUGCGUGAAGAAGUCAUUCGUUAUGUAAAGCUCUAUCAGCAGGGAAGAAAAUGACGGUACCUGAGUAAGAAGCCCCGUCUAACUACGUGCCAGCAGCCGCGGUAAUACGGAGGGGGCCAGCGUUAUCCGGAUUUACUGGGGGUAAAGGGAGCGUAGACGGCUGUGCAAGUCUGGUGUGAAAGGGGGGGGCUCAACCCGGGGACUGCAGUGGAAACUGGACGGCUGGAGUGCAGGAGAGGUAAGUGGAAUGCGUGGUGUAGCGGUGAAAUGCUUAGAUAUGAGGAGGAACACCAGUGGCGAAGGCGGCUUACUGGACUGGAACUGACGUUGAGGCUCGAAAGCGUGGGUAGCGAACAGGAUUAGAUACCCGAGUAGUC
rnacentral:rRNA from 1 species